AUGAAUCGACCAAAACAAUUGAAUGACCUAGUUAGUGGGGUGGUAACUCAUCAAGAUGCAUGUCAACACUUCCAGUUUGUUACCAAGUCAACUGCUGAAUCCCAGAUCAAGCAAACUAUCACAUUCAGUCAAUCAAACAGCAACCAACAUGUCUGUGCAUGUGUAAAUACGAAGGAUUCUUGUAGCACUGUAAGUUUGCAUGCAAAAUUGUUUUCAUUGGGCCUCAUUGCUUCAAAGGGUUUUAUAGGAAUUUUGGUGGAUUGGAAUUUUUCUAUGAUGUUUGUUCGUUUCUUAGGAUUGUAUCUCAAUGCAGACUUUUCCCAAGGACUCCACUGCAUUACAUUUUGUAGGAAAUUUCCUAAAGAAUCAUUUGUUUUUCCUGCGGUGCAACCAAACAAAUUUUGGUUCAAACCCUUAAAGGAUUCAAGUGGCAUGCCAUUGUAA
rnacentral:rRNA from 1 species